ACUGGCUGUGGCAUCCAGGAGAAAGAAAAACUUACGCCUGAACCUUAGCAGACAGCGACUAAAGUGGUCAACAACAAACGGAACUAAUGCACAACAUGCAGAAUGGAAACCAUAUUGACAAGAUGCAGUAUCCAUGGAGAAAACUGUAGGACGGGUGGAAAAUAGAGCAGCAGCGGUUGAAACAUAAAGCAAUAAACAAGAAAAUACCAAAUGCAUACGAGGCAGCAAACAUGACAAGCAGCACUGGCAGCAAACCAAACAGAAAGGAUACUCGUACAUGAGAACAUGAAUAUACAUAUAUAUAUAUACACAUAUAUUUUAUAUAUAUGUAUAUCCUCGGCGCUGGAUGCCCUGUGUGGAAAGCUUUGGCUAGACAAUAACUGUAAAAUGUAAAUAUUAAUAUUGUCAUAAUAGACAAGACAACUUGAAAGGCAGAAGCCGUGGGAGUGGCGUGUCCAGAGAGGAUGACGACGACGCCCAAGCGGAUGCGAUGACUAUUGCCCCUAUGGAUGCCGAUCCUGACGAGUAGCCGCAAAAGUGCCGUUAAGCUGCGCACUGUCGAAUGCGAGCGUUUCAAAGCGAAACGGAUGAGACCAAAUGGGAAACAGAAUACAAAAUGUCAGCUCAUUUCCGGUUGCUUAAUUUGAAAUCGUUGUGCCAAAAAUUACAAAUGAGCUGACAAUGGCACACCGAAGGAACCAAACAAGCGAAAAAUAACAGGACACGGCAGGACAUGGCUGCCAGACGGAGAGGGGCAUGACGACAAUAAGCACAAAAUAGCAGCGUCUAAUACGCAAAAUAAACGAGAACUGGCCACAGCAUGACAGCCAGGAUAACACUGGCCAGCUGGGCGCAGUCCUUUUGCCCCCUAACCCCAUUGCCAUAUCGCCCCACAGCCCCCUCUCCAUUAAAACUCGCACCACACAGCCCCUCGUGUUUUACAAUUUAACGCACAUCCUAGCAAGGCAACGCCCCAUAGUUUAAUUUUUGUCUCCUCGAUGUGUGCAUGCAAUUCGUACACUUACCAAGAAGGAUGGAAAAAAGAUUGUAAGAGAAUAAAUAAUACACGUCGACAUAUAAAGAUAUAAAUCCGCUUUACCCUUCAACAGAAACUAGUUAAGUUGGAGUGGUAAAAUAACUUGAGCUUCUAAUACAUACGGUAUUUCUUUCAGUGUUUUCUCCCUCUCUGUCACUCGUUCAUCUCUAUCCCUCUUCCGCCGGCCUUGCUGCACUCUAAUCUAAUGACGACAAGCGUGAGGGCCAGGAGAAGCUCCUCUGAUAACCACGGCUUUGAGUGUCGCUCUUUUAUUGCGUAUACGCCAUGUGCAACUCACAUACUCACACAGGGAUGGACGCCACAAUGUGUCGAAAAUUUGGAGCGUCCAUCGUCAUUCACCUUUUUGUUGAGUGCAGGCGAUAAAAUGUUCGGCGAGCACACCAUCUACCAUCAUCAAGAUCUUUCCUCCACCUCCUUCUCACCUUUCUUGCCCUUCAAGAACUCUUCCAUCUGCUGACAGCAUUUUGGCCAAGGAGUCUCUGCCAAAUGGUCAAGUGGCAGACUAUGAGUAAAGUGAAAAAGUCAUUUAAGGUGGAUUCACAUAACAUGAAAAUGAGAAGCCUAUGAAGUAAUUUCUGAAGGAACAAUCGACUGUAUAAUAAGUAUAUAAAAAUUAAGAUAAGAUUGAUAGAAAGUUCUUUCAAGUAAGUUGAGUUCUUGGAAUUAUUUCUUCUUUUUCCAAUGAACCAGCAAGCAACUAGGAAACCCGUUUACACCUUACCUAGCAGUUUACGUUCGACUUAAUUAACGUUCAACAACUAAUUGAAUAAUUUAUGCAAGUCAAAUAAAUGACAUGUCAACAUAUAAUUAAUUGUGGCGCCCAAAAUGCCGCUAAGUAAACGAGGAAUCGCGGAAAAGUUCUCAAUUUAUGCAUGAUUUACAUCUACCAUGGAGAAGCGUGGUCUCUUUUAGCAGCUAAUUAAAUGUUUGUAAUGAAAAAACAUAACAAACAAUGAAAGUGCAUGGUGAGGGAAAACUAAGCCUCUUCUUGGGGACCAAGAGUCCGCUGUUUUUCCCAACUUGUCUUGCACUUUUGAGGUCAUCCUGGGAGUCUCUUAGGAUGUCCUUAGCCCUGUCAGCGGCUCCUUCUGUUGGCCAGCAUAAUUUUGUUAUUGUUUCUGCAUUGCAUUACAAGCAACUACGGAGCAACUAUUGCUGCUGCUCCAUAAUCUAUUGGAUUAGUGAAAAUUCAAUUAGGCCGGGCCAAGGAGCCUCCAUUUGCUGCGCAGGAUCUAAUGAAAUUAAACUGCGAGCUCUUCAACUUUAAGUUUAACACUACGAUGUUCCCUGUGCUUUCGGCAGCAAUUACUUUUGUGCGAUUCAGGCCCGCUGCUCGUCAAAUAUUUGUUUAACGGGCUAAACAAAAUGUCGCCCACUAAAUCCAUGUCAAAAUCCAGCUAUAAAAAUAAUAAAUAAACCUACAAAAAAAUACCUAAAUCAUUCGAUCUACGAGAAGCGCAAAAAAGGCCGUAAAGCUCUAUAAAAAAUGACUGUGAAUUUCAAACCAAGUGCAAACAUUGUUGUAUCACAAAUAUUUACAACACUUUAAACUAUAUGGCAGCUUUUGAAGCAGCAAAAACCAACCACAUCAAUGGGCAAAAACAAAUGUGUAUCAGUAAAUGAUUGCAAAAAUGUGUGUUAAACAGCCCACACAUAAAGGGACCAAUUAAAAAAUCGAAUUGGAAAAGAUUUCGGAAACUAAGAAUGUAAAAUUAAAUCAUAGGAACUAUGUAAUAAAAAUCAGAAUACCUAUAUAUUAUUUGCUAAUAUAUAUCCAGAUAAAUAACCUUACAUUUAGGAAGGCGUUUCAGAAAGUAUUGUAAAAACUUACAAAAUGUAAUCAAUAUAGUUUAGUCUGCCAACAA